rnacentral:lncRNA from 1 species
CACAAUUUGACUUCAUUCCAUUAGCAAGUACCAGUGGGUUGAUUGUGUACAUUCCACAACGAGUUAUGAGACAGUUCGGGUACCCGCAGAGAGUGCCGACCAUACAAGAAAUGGGAAGUAUCGAGCUUAAUACAGUCACUGAGUGCCGGACUAUGGUGUUAGAAGGCUGGGGAAAUCUGUGUAGUUUGGACAACCUGCAUUUGGACCAAGUGAACAAGGUAGAGC